CUGGCUCUUUAAUUCAGCGUGAGCAGCGCCACAAAAAAACAUUAGAAUUGACGCUGAAACUCCCACUUCGCUGCUGCUCACUUCCGGUGUAAGAUUUUAGCAGUGCAGAGUACAGAGCUUACAAACUGCAGUUUCCACACAAGAGACAUCAUCUUUACACACAGCACAAAAUUUAUGUUUUCCCGUCCUCUUUUGAUUGACAGGAUAUAAUCGGCCCUGAUUAUCGGAUGUUUUUAAACUAUCGGCCUAUAGCGUGAAAAAUAGCCUUUAUCCGCUGAUACCGAUUAUUGGCCGAUUCAUUGGAGCAUCUCUAAUACAGAUCCCUUAAAAAUAGUAUUAAUCUUCAAUCGACACAUAUCAGGAACAUUGUGUUCGUAUGUUUCAUUCACACCUUUAGUUAAAAAGGCUACAACGUGCAAAUAACUGUACUGAGAGAUUAUUAUAAACAUCCAUCACCACCAAUACGGAAAUGUCAAUGUCUCAGUUUAGCCUACAGGUGGAUGGCACUGCGAUUUUAGGUCUGUGAAUUCUGGGUCUGACAUUUCCUCAAUCUCAACUAUAUUGCUUGAGAUAUGUGCGGGACUGUGUUUUUUAAGCCUUCUCACAAUGUCAUUAUUUUUGGUUAUACCUUCUCGCAAACUUUUCUAAUGAAUUUAGUUGGUUUUGCUACACAAUCUCACACACAAUCUCAUUUAAAAUAAAUAAUCAUAAGAAAUAGCAUUAAUAACAAAUUUAAGUUCAGAGUGGUACUAUAUUAUGGAAAUAUAUUCUUGUACAAUUUCACCUUGAAACUUUGGGAGGCAGGUGAAAGAAGGAGGAAAGAAGGCGGAUGAAAGAAGGCGAGUUGUCCAAAAUGGCUCCCUCAAAAGAUUCACUGUUUUAUGCAAUUAAUGUCAUACAGUUGCUCUUGUAUAAAAGCAAUAAAACAAUUGUUACCAAAAAAUUGAAAAUACCAAACGAAAUUAAUAUGGUAAAACUCAAAUGCCUUUAACCCUAAUUUAAAAACAAAAAAACAAAACAAAAAAAACAACAACAAUUGUAUGGGCGUGACAUGCAUAUCCAUAACCACAUAAGUGAGGUACAUAUUUAUGAAAGAAUGAAAUUUUCAUUUGUUAGCAACAAUAGUCUCUUAGGUCUUGGCUUACUGACAGUAUGCAAAAUAAUAGUUUAAGCCAUUUUAGCUAGAAAGCACAGUGAAAGUUCUUUUUAAGUGUACUGGAUAAUGAUGAACAGUGAAAUACUCACCAGUAUCAGUCUUUCUUUGUUGUUCGGGGAAAGAGAAACUCUGUCCAGCUCGCUCUUCUUCUCUCUGGAGUCCUAUCAAAAACUAGUUUAAGGCAGAAUAACAAACUUGGACCCUCCCAGUAGCGCUGCUGUGCAUCAGUGGAAGUUGUCACAUCAGACAAGUUGGAGAGUUUACUUUUGGAUUAUCCUUUUUGUCUUAAAGCUGCCUAUCCAAAUUUUCAGUCAUGUUUAGAGGGGUUUGUAACAAAAAGGACAAACAUAGGCCUUGCCUGUUUCAAGUAACAUUGCAUGUUAAUGAUUAUAGAACUUUACUUAACCACUGUGCAAGUAAACGUCUGGGUUACGCACGUAACCCUGUUCCCUGAGAAGGGAACAAGAUGUUGUGUUUAGCAUAACACUAUGGGAGUGCCUUUCGCGUGCGACCGGCACCUGAAGCUUGUGUAAAUUCAUGCCUAUUUAUAGGCCUGCCAUGAUCAGGUGAUGUGGCAAUUAAAUGUGUCGCGUGAUAUAAAUAUGGCACCUGUGAACCACGCCACCAGCCAUUAUCUGAAGUGAAGAUGCAAUUCACAGGCCUGCCCUGGUAUGACAAAGCUAAGCAACAGCUCGUUCCCUUCUCAGGGAACAGGGUUAUAUGUGUAACCCAGACGUUCCCUUUCAAAGGGAACUCAAUGUUGUGUUUAGCAUAACAGUAUGGGAACGAGAAUACCCACUCCGUCAUACCGAGAGUAUGGCCUGUUCAAAAAGACCCAAGCGCUUGGGUCACUGCAAGACACUUGAGCCUGGGACAGAAUGAAUAUCCAGGCUGUAAUAACAAAUGAAUGUGUGUGGCGUAGACCACCCUGCAGCAGCACACACAUCCUAUAAGGAUACCCCUUUGGACAAAGCCUUCGCGGAGGUGACCGUCCUAGUGGAAUGAGCCCUUAUGCCCAGAGGCGUAGCGAGACCGCACGCCUCAUAAGCAAUAGAGAUUGUUUCCACUAUCGAAUUAGAGAUGCGCUGCUUUGACACAGCAUCACCUCUACUGUCGCCACCAAAGCAGACCAGCAGCUGCUCUGACUUACGCCACUGGCCGGAGCGGUAGACGUAAGUACAGAGAGCCCUUACUGGGCUCUCUGGGCCACAGGGGCGGCUGUGGAUCAGGUGGUAGAGCGGGUUGUCCACUAAUCGUAGGGUUGGCGGUUCGAUUCUCGGCCCACAUGACUCCACAUGCCGAAGUGUCCUUGGGCAACACACUGAACCCCAAGUUGCUCCCGAUGGCAAGUUAGCGCCUUGCAUGGCAGCUCUGCUACCAUUGGUGUGUGAGUGUGAGUGUGAAUGGGUUAAUGAGACACAGUGUAAAGCGCUUUGGAUAAAAGCGCUAUAUAAGUGCAGACCAUUUACCAUUUACUGGACACAGCAGGUGCAUACUCUCUUGUUCUGGUGUGGGGAAUGGAGGAGGGCAGAAAGCCUGCAACACCACAGGGUGGGCAGACGAUGUAGGCACUUUAGGAAUAUAAUCCGGCAUAGGAUACAGAAUGGCCUUGGCUAAUCCAGGGGCAAAGUCAAGACAGGAAGGGGCAACAGAGAGAGCUUUUAGAUCUCCUACUCGCCUGAGAGAUGUCAGGGCCAGCAGAAGAGCUACCUUUAGAGUCAGAAGCUUUUCAGAGGCUGAUUCUAAGGGCUCAAAUGAUGCACAAGACAGACCUUCCAGGACCACAGAAGGUUCCAGGAAGUUAUGUGCAGCAUGCAGAUGGGCCUCAGCUGCCUGACACCACUCAUGAACCUCGAAGUUAGAGGAUGUUGCCCCACAGAGGCUCCAUCAACAGGGGCGUGGCUGGCCAAAAUAGCAGCCACGUAAACCCUGAUUGUAGAAGGAGCCCACCCUGCUGAGAAACGUUCUUGUAAGAACUCCAGGACUGUAGCUAUUGUGUAGUUCACUGGGUCUAUAGUUGAUCCCUGUGGAUGGGAAUCUCCCAAGGAGUGCCAUCUAGCAGAGAUAUUAUUUCUGAGAACCAUAUUCGAGCUGGCCAAUAAGGUGCUACUAGCAGCAGACAUAGUCUUGGCGAACUCUCGCUAGAACUUGUGGGAGCAGAGCGAUCGGGGGAAAAGCGUACAGAUGUGACCUCGGCCACAUGUGCACCAUGGCGUCCAGCCCUAAUUGUGCGGGAGGAGUGAGGGCGAACCACAGCGGGCCGUGUGUUGUCUACUUGGAGGUGAACACAUGCAGGCCCGCUUGGCCAAACCUCACCAUAUGGACUCCACCACUUGGGGAUGGAGCCACCAAUUCCUGGGCCUCAGCCCCUGCCUCAACAGGAUGUCUGCCCCCAUAUUCCCAGAAUGUACAUUGCACUCACUGACAAACUUUCCUUCUGCCCAGAGAACAAUUAGUUGCACCUGCCUGAACAGGGGGCGUGGACAUAAUCCUCCCUGGUGGUCAAUAUAUGAGACCAUCACUGUGUUGUCUGUAAACACAUGGUGACCUCUCAAUUGAGGAAGAAGGAAUUUCAGUGCUAGAAAUAUGGCCCACAUCACUAGGCAAUUUAUAUGCUGCUCCAGAUGAGGGCCGCUCCAGAGACCAUGAGUUGGACAGCUGUCUAAGACCAUGCUCCAGCCCGUGAGGGAAGUGUCUGUCAUAAGGAGACACCCCUAGAGUGUGACCCAAGACUAGAAACCGGGGGCACUCAAAUUCUCAGAGCAUGUAGGCAUCGCCGAGUGACACUGAAUACUCUCAGAGGUUUCGGCCUUGGACGAAACCCCCAAAGUCUCAGCCACCACUGAACGAUCUCCUGUGCAAUAGGCCCAUAAGCUCCAAUAGUCUCCCAAGAUCCAGCUUUAUCUUGCUCAGUGUUGAUAGGAUUGACCCUACGCAUGUUGGGGAUAGAAACGCCCUCAUCGUAGUAGAAUCCUUAUAACCCCUAGAAAAGUUGUCCACUGCACUGGGGAAAGCAUACUUUUCUGAGGUUCAACCUGAGCCCCAAGCUCUUCAUGUGGGCGAGAACAACAUCUCAAUGUUGAACCGCCAAUUCCCUGGAUCGUGCUAGAAUUAACCAGUCGUCCAGGUAGUUUAGUACACGGAUGCCCUGGAGUCACAAUGGAGCCAGAGUGACAUCCAUGCACUUUGUGAAGGUGCGAGGGGAUAAAGCUAGCGAUAUUUCUAUGUGGAAAUAUACACCUUUUAGAUCUAUCGUCACAAACCAGUCCUCAAACUGAAUCUGUGGAACGAUAAGUUUGGGCGUCAGCAUCUUGAACCUGUAUGUCCAAAGAGUACAGUUCAGAUGACACAGAUCUAAAGUUGUCCGCAUACUCCUCUAUUUUUUGUGGACCAGGAAGUAACGGCUGUAAAAACCUCCCUCCCUCAGGGAAUGGGGUACAUGUUCUAUGGCCAGUUUGUCCAAGAGGGAUCUUACUUCCUGCACUAACGUCGGGCUCUGGUCUGUACUGACUACUGUGGUGACCACACCUCUGAACUGGGGGGGUCGAGCUCUAAAUUGGACCUGGUAACCCUUUUCUACUGUAGACAGAACCCAUGGAGACACAUUUGACAGUAGUUUCCACGCUGUCAGAUGGUCUUUUAGUGAUGUUAACUAUUCCACAUUCUAUUGGAGGGAAAGCAUCAGAUUUUUGUUGCCCUGUGACAGCUCGCUGACCAGAGAACAUUGAAAACUUGGUACAGCCUUGGCUAGGGGAAGCCCUACAGUAGCACUGGGAGCUAAAUGCCCUCACAACCUCCUGUCCCCUGAUACAUCCCUCCACGACCCCUCAGGACCGCUCUUCUUUGCCUGCUUGGCCUUUAUGACCAUUCACAGAUCAAGCCUAGUAGCAGGCCGCGGCUGUGGCCGCCCAGUUCCCCUGGCUGUCUGCGGGGGUUGGCGGGCUGCCAUACUUGCCUUCUGUAUUUCCCUCGCACUAGUGCUGGCCCGGGCUCCACUCGUGGAUGCCUGAGUGAACUCGACACAACAGGGAAGGAACUGGCUGAAUGCCGCCAUAUGUCGAGCUCACUCAGCAGGUCUGCUUGGUAGGCCUGCAACACUGUCAUUUUCUGCAGUGACUCACAAGCAAGACUACUACUGCAUAGGCCUUGCCCACCAAUGCCACGGUGGCCUUACACGGUGGCUUGGAUGGCAAAGCCGGCCCCCCUAAUUACCUGCCGUCGAUGGAGAGAGGUAGCUCGCAACUGCCUCCUCCUCCUUCAGCAUAGCUAAAUAGCCAUGCCAUUCAUUCCCCACAAUAGCAGAAUAAUCCAACAUCGUGGGGUUAUAAAUACGGCUCAUGCAUGGUUUUCCCCGAGAAGCCUGAUAUUUUGUCAUGCACUUCUGGAAGAAAGGGGAGUUUUCUGCAGUGUGAGGGAUUUACUUUCACUGGGGAGAAAAAGGCUCAUCUUAGUAAUCACUUCAAACAGCUCUUUAUAUGCUGCUCUCAGUUUUUAGCACAUCCUUCUGGUUCCUCGGAGUCAGAGAGGAAUUAUUACUAUUAUUAUUAUUAUUAUUAUUAUUAUUAUUUGUGUGCGCGCGUGUGUGUGUUUUCUCUCUCUCUUUUUUCCCCCUUUUGGCUUUCCAUAGCGGAAGGAGGAGUCCGAAGUGGCUCCAAAAUCCAGCGGAGAGCCGGACCCGGAAGACAGAGCAAGGGAUAGAGCAGCGCUCGUCUCCGGCUCCUCUUCCGGAUCCAUAAGCGAUCCCACGAACCUGAGACGGCUAGCUGCCUCGGCAGCGAGGCUCUGAAACCCAACUCGCUUCAGGUUCCGAGAAGAGCGCGAGUCGCGAACGGAGCUGCCUGAUGGAUAGAAAAGUCCAGAGAUUUCGAGAAAAGAUAGAGAGGAAAUGAAGCAUCUUUUUGUUUAUUUACACAAACAACCGGCAUGCAGUCUUUCACUGAAGAUAAUAAGGCUGAUGGCACGGUUCACAGCUUUCUGAAAAGGCACUGUAUUUAAGAGACUUGGAAAAGUGAAACAAGUGCUAAUCUACUGUGAGGAUCCAUUUUUUCCUAACCUUGCACAGUUUUGCGUCACUGUGUAAAUGUUAUCAACUACAUUUUGGGUUUGGGGAACACUGGAAUAUUUCAUCCUAGGCUGCAAACUGGACACCCUGAAGGUGGUGGUGGAAAGGUGGAUGGUGGACAAAAUUAAGAGGAUCAUGGACAAUAGCAAACACCCCCUCCAUGCCACACUGGCCAAACAGCGGUGCUCCUUCUCCAGUAGAUUAUGGCAGCUUCACUGUAACAAAGAAAGGUACAAGAAGUCAUUCUUGCCCACUGCUGUCCGACUCUACAAUGAGUCAACAACGACGUUGGGGAGCUAUGUGGACACUGGAGAUGAUGGACAUGUCUACUGAGUUUGCAUACUCAGCUAUUACACUACAUAUUGCACAACAAUUUUUACAUAGGGUCACUGCACAUUCUUACACACGCACUGCCACUUUACUUAUGACUUACUGAUGACUACUGUACAUUUAUACACACAUUAAUAAAACUGCUCUUCACACAUGUAAGUCCAAUGUAAGUUUUAAACGUGCCAACCUGUAAUAUAUUUCAUACAGUUAAUCUGUACAGGAAUCUUAGUCUGUAAAUAACUUAGUGAGCUAUUAAUAUGUGUAUUUUUAAUUCUCUCUUAUUUAUGGUGUAUAUUGUGAGUUUAUGGUGCAAGUCUUGUGAACUGUUAAGUCUUAGUCCUCCCUGUUGUGCUUGUGUUGUGGCUGUUGUGACACCAAAUUGCCCAUUAGGGGUCAAUAAAGUACUCUCCGUCUCUGUCUACCUCUAUUUAAGUGUACGAAGCUGGUUUUUUGA